GGGGAGAGGUCGCCUGACGCAGAACGAGAGGAAAAAAGAAUGGAUAACGGACGCCCGCCCGACCGCCGGUCGUCACACUCGCAUUCUUUCUUUCCUCCACACACAUACAAAAAAAAUAUUAUUAUAAAGUGACCGAUCGCGGUGACGGGGACUCGUGGAGAGGCGGCAAACGACGGGUGGUGGCAGUGGAGGAGGUUGGGGAUUUAUGUUUGUGGACUGUAUGAUGCAGGGAAUGGACGUUUUAAAAGAGCUGCUGCUGCUUGAGGAUGAAGACGACGAGCUGUAACGGGAUGCCCUCUUUCCCUCCCGUGUUUGUGAACGUGUGAUUUUUAAACCAGUCCACUGGCUGAGGUAGUAGUUUGUGUUGUUGGAAGGGUCUGUGACACUGCCCAGUAUGGAGAUAACUGCGCAAGCUACUGCCUUGCUAGUGCUGGUGAUUGACUCUCCUCCGAGACACCAUUGCAACAUCCACUGGCUGUCAGAGUAAUUCGUCUAAUAUUCUAUAUUUGGACUUUUCUCUUUGCAAGUUUAAACUAAUUGUAUUGUGCAUUGCACGGGAUUUAUGUUUUGCUUUUCUAAAAAAAUUGCGAUUUGCAACACCGGUUGUUUUUAGGCCUUUGCUUGACCCCUAUCCUACACAAAUUACAGUCAUAGGAUGUUAUGGGUUAUUUGAUUUAUGUCGAAUGUACUGUCAAGUAUGAUGCUUCGUGAUCCUUUGUUAUAUAGCCUAUUAUAAAUGUGUGUGCUUCCAAAGACGACAUUUUUUUUUAAAAAGGCACUAUUUUGUGGCAAAGACCGAUUUAGAGAGACUUUGGUGCUUUAUUUCAAUGCGAGGAUGUUUUAUAAGGCAUAUUGUAUGGACUAGGGAGUAAACAAAAGAUCCAACAUAUGCCGUUCCUUGUAGAAUCAGUCUGAAGCAGAGCCCUGACCCAAAACCUCGCCUGUCCAUUCCCUGCAUGGAUGCUUCCUGACCUGCUGAGUCACUCCUCUUUGCUCAAGAUUCUACCUUCUGCAGCUCCUUGUAUCUCCAAACAGAUCAUCUACUCUGCCACUGUUUACAUAGCUUCCCUUCUCCCAUGAACUUUUAAUCAAUAUUUGUUUCUUGCAAUGCAGUACAAAAUGAUUACGGCCCUGAGUAGGGCAGCAAACCAAAAUACAUGCCAAUUAUUUAUAGGAUGUUAAGUUUGCUGUUAACUUAUUAACCUGUUAAAACUGCACCAGUGCUAUCAAGUUUAAUUUCAAGUACAUAUCUGGAAUUAAUGUCAUUUGUAUUAACUAACAUUGUAUUGCCAUUUAUUCAAAUUAAAGCCGAUUUUAAUAUCAA